AAGGGAUAACCGCUGAAAGCAUCUAAGCGGGAAGCUCGCUUCAAGAUUAGGUUUCCCACCGGUUUACCGGGUAAGGCCCCCAGCUAGACGACUGGGUUGAUAGGCCGGAAGUGGAAGAGGCGCAAGCCUUGGAGCUGACCGGUACUAAUAGGCCGAGGAUUUAACUACAA
rnacentral:rRNA from 1 species